GCAGCAGGGUUUGCAACAGCUGGACUGGGAGCAGCUGGACUGGGAGCAGCAGGGCUUGCAACAGCUGGACUGGCCACAGCUGGACUGCGAGCAGCAGGGUUUGCAGCAGCUGGACUGGCAGCAGGCACUGGAGCCACAGCUGGAGGAGCAGGAGGGCACACAGCAGCACACGGGCUUGCAGCAGCACACGGGCACACAGCAGCUGGAGCCGCAGCCCCCACAGCUGUGGCUCCAGUGCCUGCUGCCAGUCCAGCUGCUGCAAACCCUGCUGCUCCCAGUCCAGCUGCUGCAAGUCCAGCUGCUGCAAACCCUGCUGCUCCCAGUCCAGCUGCUGUGUG
rnacentral:lncRNA from 1 species